CUCAGUUCGGAUUGAAGUCUGCAACCCGACUUCAUGAAGCUGGAUUCGCUAGUAAUCGCGCAUCAGCUACGGCGCGGUGAAUACGUUCCCGGGCCUUGUACACACUGCCCGUCAAGCCAUGGGAGCCGGGGUACCUGAAGUGCGUAACCGCAAGGAGCGCCCUAGGGUAAAACUGGUGACUGGGGCUAAGUCGUAACAAGGUAUC
rnacentral:rRNA from 1 species